rnacentral:ncRNA from 1 species
UGCGGGCCGGGCCCCUCUGACGACGCUGUGUCGUGAUGUCGGACCGCAUCG